UGGAUUUGGAUAAACAAAAUCAAUUCUAUUUGGAUAAUUUUUUACAAAAUUUGCACUAACUUUCAUUUAGUCGUAACUUUAUUGAUAAAUUUUGUUAGCUAUGUAAUAGAAAAGCAAACUCAGAAUAUGUAGCUUAUGUUUAACUUGGUCCUACUUAUCUGCUCAGUGCUCACUGUAUAAGAAUUGGUUCCGUAUAUAUGAACUUCAAAGGCUGUGAAUUUCUAUGAUUAGAGAUUUUCGUCAAGUAUGGGAGAUGGUGGGAGAAUCUUGGGAGGUUUCAAUUUAGCAAUCCUGAUGGUGAUGAUGCUAUUGAGCACCAACCGACACUGUGCGGCCGACGCGGUUAAGAAGAAUAAGAGCAUGAGCAGCCGCUGGUGCGAUGAUCUUCAAAUAAGGAGUGCCUGCAGCUUUCGGACGACAUAGACGAUGGAGUUGUUGAUGGAUUCAGAAGCAAGCAAAAUGGUAUUUGAAGCAAGUGCAGCAAUCGACUUCGCCAACAGUAAAAAUCCAACUACCAGAGCCCUUGACCCUUCUCCAGCNNNNNNNNNNNNNNNNNNNNNNNNNNNNNNNNNNNNNNNNNNNNNNNNNNNNNNNNNNNNNNNNNNNNNNNNNNNNNNNNNNNNNNNNNNNNNNNNNNNNNNNNNNNNNNNNNNNNNNNNNNNNNNNNNNNNNNNNNNNNNNNNNNNNNNNNNNNNNNNNNNNNNNNNNNNNNNNNNNNNNNNNNNNNNNNNNNNNNNNNNNNNNNNNNNNNNNNNNNNNNNNNNNNNNNNNNNNNNNNNNNAAUUUGUAGUAUAUGUGACAAGCAGGAGUACUCUCAUCAAAUUCUAAUGUGUAGGCUCUUGGGAACAAUGCCUUGUAUAUUUCACCUUUGUAGAUUGUUUUGUAAUUUACUUUACCUAUUAACAAGAGGCAACACAUGAUUUGUCAGACCUACGAGGGUCAAAAAUGACAUUCUACAGCCUAAGAUUGAAGUAUAAUGAGACAACCUCCACAAUUCCCAAUAAAACAAAACCAGAACUGCAAAUCCGAACUUUACUAUCUCACUAUUUCACACCCUCUCAAUAACUGUUUAAAUAAAUAAAUAUUAAGAUAUCUUCAACUUUUAAUUUUAAAAUUUAAAUUAUUAAAAUUUAUUUAUAAUAGUUACAAUGUUUAGACGAAUUAUUAGUAUUUAUUUACAAGUUUUUCAUAUUUUUUUUAUUUAUUUAAUGAUGAUAUGUCAUGUUAUUAUUCACUUAUAAUCAAUAACGAAGUGAAGAGGCUAGCAGUGACCCUGACCCCCUUAAAAUGGAAAAAUUUUAUUUAGACUCCUUUAUAAUUUAUUAAAAUUUAAAUUAAUAAUAGUAAAAUUACGCUUUGAUCCCCAAAUGAUACAAAAUUGUAAUUAAGUUUCAACUUUCUGCUUAUUAAUUACAACAUUAUUUAGUCACGAAUUCAUUUCACUAAAGUAUAGUGAUUGAACUUUCCCUUAUUAUAUAUCAUUACAAAAGCACUCAUUGAGUGCUCGUCCAAUGUCCCUGUUGUAAGUGUGUUAUUCUUAUAGUAUAUUCUUAAUCUUUUUAGGAUAAAUUUGUUCUCCCAAUAUAAUAUUAAUUUAUCUCAUUAUAAUCAUUAUAUAUUCCUUCUUGGAAAAUCAGUUACUAAUAAAUAGUAAUUAAAUCAUUUAUCACCAACACAAAUGAUAUGUGGUCACGUUACUUUUCAUUUAUUAUGUGAUGCUAAUGAAAGGAUAUCAUUUACCUUUUAAUUGAGUUAUGAAUUCCGUUGUUGUGAAUGACGCUACAUAUUGCAAAAGUCGUAUACCCAACGCACCAGCUUUCAAUUCUUUAUCUAUUUGGAUUCAAUCUUUCAUUUGCAUCAAAGUAUACAAGUUACACAUACAUAAUCCAUCAUCAACUCAUGAUUAAAUAUGUCACACUAUGAAAGUCACAGGUGAAUGGAUCCAUAAAGAUCUAGGAUCUAUUCUACAUGGGUUUUGUCUGAUGUGCCAUCAGCUUAGUCCAUCUCAUCUAUAUCUCUAUUUUCUGGAAGUCAUCCAUUCUGAUACCCAAGAUAAGGUAUCUCCCCAAUUGAACUUGAUAGACGAUAUAUUAAUCUUUCAACCGAUUUAUUCAAUUCUGAUUAGACUAAAUGCGUGUUUAGAUUAUUUACUAAUAUAAGUUGUAUUUUCGUAUUAUAGUCUGAUCACAUAAUAUCACUUAGUAUUAGUUAAACGAUAAAUAAUCAGUGAGUCAAUAUUUACUUUCAAUUUACUUUGUGAGCAAAAAACAGUUAAGGACAAUAUACAAAUAUAUUAAUGAAAUUGAUAUAUAUUUUAUUAAAUCAAUUCGUUCAAAAAAAUAUAAAUACAUAUAGACAAAAAUACUACAUUAAGGGCACUAGAUUCCAACAGAGUUGCCACAGGGAGUAUGUGAAAGAUUAAGAUCCACUCCAUUAUCUAUUCAUUCAUUAAUAUCUAAUAUAAUGACCAUCAUCUUUCAAAUGUGUAAGGCCCAUUUAUUAAAUAUAAAAAUCAACUUAUGAAUGGUGAUUAAACAUAUAUUUGAUAUAUAUGGAUGAAAAAGUAAUGAACUGGAGCCAAACCCAUAUAUGAAAGACGUGCACAAUAAAACUCAAUUUGUUAUGGCAGUACGAAGCUAUCAUGCUAAAGUGAAAUCUAAUAUCCUUUAAAAAUAUGUUCACACAUGAGGAAUAUUCACUAAUUAGUUGUUAAAGAUGUUUGCCAAGAAUGUGAACUAUCCAUAGAAGUGAGAGAUCCAUGUGUGAGCGAUCCAACUCCGUUGCUGAGAAUGAGGACCGGAUGGGUUGUGUUCCAUGUCAUAUGACAUAAUUUAUUGUCAUUUGCCAUUAUUUGAUUUUUGUCUUGAAUAGCAGUGUGUUUAAUUUGGUCUCUUCUAUAAUGUAUUAUUAUGGUUGGAAUUUGGAGUCAUUUACCAUACAGUUUCAAAAGAAUAUAUACCUCUUUUGCUAGCUGUGCCUAUUACAAUUUUUUCUAAUCUAUUUAACUACCUAUACUACUAUAUAUAUAAAAGGAACCUGUCUAUUAUUGUUUUUUUUUUACAUGACAACAUAAUGAAUUCUUAAGAAUGAUUAAAUUUUAAUAAGAAUGAUCAAAAUUUGAUCCUUAUAUUUUGUUUAAAUUUAAAAUUUAAUUAUAUACUUUAAUUUUUAUAUAAUUUAAUAAUUUAAUUUUUAUAAUAUCAUUAUUUAGCAUGUUAAAAUUCUUUAUUAAAUCUAGAUUCGUUACAAUGUUAUUUUUUGUUACAUUGAUACCACAUAAUUUUUUUUUUGUUUCAAAAUAUUACACCAACAAAUUUAACAAAAAAUUUUAAUAAUGUCAACAAAUGCACUUAAAUUUUUAAUUUUAAAAAGUAAAGAGACGAAAUUACUGAAAAUAAAAAUAUGGAGAUUAACUUCAAAAUAUACGAAAAGUAAAAGAACUUUGAACAAAUUGUAACUUUUAUACUUUUACUCUAUAAUUUAGUCCAUCCCGAAGCUUAAGUGAAAAUCGUACUAGUAUAUAAAUAGAAGGACAAAAAGGAUUCUUCUCUUGACACAUGGCAUUUAGUUUCCAGUUUUUUAUAUUUCAGGAAAAUGGUCAAAUCUGAUUUUUUUUUUAUCCGUCUACUAUGCCUAAAUUAAAAUUUAAUCUCUAUACAUUUAUUUCUAACAUAAUUUGGCCCUGUAUUUUUUUAAUAUUAUUAGUUACCCAAAUAGUUAAUAUUGUAUAAAUAGUUGGAUUAAAUUGUUGAUAUGAAUUUUUCUUAAAAAAUAUUAUUCUAACACUUGUUUUAGCAUAAUUAAUUGGAAUAAGUAUUUUUUAAAAAAAAAACUUAUGUCAUCUACUCAAAUAAUUAAGGGUGAUAAUUAUUUGAACUAACAAAUGACACAACUCCUUUCCCCCUUUUUAGUCGUUAUAAGAUAAUGGAAAAAUUAUAGUUUUGAUCCCCUAUUAUGCUCACCUUUGGGAUUUAGUUUUUAUAUUUUAAAUUGACAGAAUUUGGUCCUCUACUUUUACCAUGACAUUCAUUAGUCCAAAUAGUUAACAUUCUUGAUUAUUUCGGUUAAAAUGAUGAUAUGAAUUUCUUUUAAAAAUCUUUCUAACACAAAAGAAAAAGAUGUUUUGGCAUGAUAAAUUAGGACGAGUAUUUUUUAGGAAAAAAUUGACUUCAAUAUUUUAACCAAAAUAAUUAAGUGCGCCAAUUAUUUCCAAAUGUUAUGUAGAUGAAUUUUAUGUCAAAUUAAAGUAUAAAUACUAAUUCCUAAAUUUAAAAAUAGUAGAGGGAUCAUAAUCAUAACUUGAUCUAAAAUAAUAUAUAUCUAAUACAAUCAUUUGUCAAUUAAUUUAUUAAAAAGUCUUUAAAAUAUUGUUUUUAAUUAAUUUAGGUUAUGUUUGAUAAAUUGACAAAUUAAGUACCGAAAAAUUAAGUGUUGAGUUUAAGUUAUAAAAUAUGUCUGGUGUAUUACUUAAAAUUAAAUAUUGAUUAUAAUUAGAUUAUUUGAUAAAUGAUAAUAUAAUCUUAAUGAAAUAGAAUAAAAUCAAAAUAAUUGAAUUUAUUCUCUAUUAGGUGAUAAGUAGGUCCCCUAUUAUUUUCCAUAAUUUUUUGUGGAAAAAUUACUAUCCAAUAAAUUUCAUCGUGGGUUAUCAAACAUACUUAAAAAAGUUAAAUUGCUAAAAAUAUUAAUUGAAUUUUUUCAACAAUUAAAAAAAUCAUGUGAAAGAAUAAUAAUUAUAAAAAUUAGAUCUCCUAAACAUUGUCAUGGAGAAAGUUAUAAUAGAAAAUUGUAUUGUUUUAUUUUUUAUUUUAAAAAAUUAUUGGGUAAAUUUCACUGUUAGUCACUCUAAAUAGGGAUCAUUUUUAUUUUGGUCUCUCCAUUUUUUUUUUGUUAACUUAGUCACCCGAAAAAAAUUUGAUCAAAUUAGUCAUUUCACCGUUAAAUGAUAAUUGAUUAUGUUAUAUAAUUAAAAUCACUUAUUUUGUUUUUACUUUUAAAUAUAGGUUUCUCUUUUACUUCUUCCCAUCUUUUCUAAAAUAACAAAAGAAUAGUACCAACAUAAUUAGCGAAACAGUGCCUGAACAAAAAAUUAUAGAUAAAACUACUGCGAAAUCCCUCUAUUAGAAUGAUCGGAUUAAAUUAGUCUCUGUACUAUUAAAUAGUUCAAUUCAAUCACUGUACUAUUAAAAAUAAUCAAAUAAAAUUUAACUAGAACAAAGUUAAUAUUUUUAAAUAGUAAACAUUAACUCUAUUGAAAUUUAACCUUAUUUAAUAGCAUGAAAUUUAAUAUUAUUUAAUUUUUUUAAUAACACAUAAACUAAAUUGAUCUAAUAAAUACUAGAAGGACUAAUUUAAUUUAAUCCCUAUAAUAAAGAAACCUGCGAAAUACAUUCACCAAUAAUUAUAUUAUAUGUCCAAGUAAAAAAUGUGUGCUAGAAUGUGGCCUGAAUCUUGGUUGGUGUUUAUAUUCGUUUUGAGUUAAAAUUAUUAAAAUUAACUCCACUCUUUUCAUUCCUACUUCAGAAUAAUUAAGAAACAACUAGAUAGGGAAUAAAAAUAGUAAAAUACAGAAAUUAUCUACACCCGUGAUCAAUUAUUGAAUGCACCAGUAGACAAUAUUUCUUUUUCAUUUAUAUAUAAAAUAUUGUAUAUUAUGGUCGGUGGGUUAGAAUUGGUUCUACAUAUAUUAAGAUAAAGAGUGUCGUGGGAGAUACAUAGCAGGAGAAUGAUGGGAGGUAUGAGUUUAGCAAUGCGGGUGCUGAUGAUAAUGGUAAUGCUAGUGAGCACCAAUCAAUACUGUGCGGCGGACGCGGUUACGAAGACUAAGAGCAUGAGCAGCCGCUGGUGCGAUGAUUCUUCAAAUAAGGAGUGCCUGCAGCUUUCGGACGACAUAGAAACCAUGGAGUUGUUGAUGGAUUCAGAAGCAAGCAAAAUGGUAUUUGAAGCAAGUGCAGCAACCAACUUCGCCAACAGUAAAAAUCCAACUACCAGAGCCCUUGACCCUUCUCAAGCUGUCUGCGGCCGUAAUACAGGCAAGACUUGCCUUCCUGCUAGUAAUCCAGGCAGAAAGGUACCUCCAAAUUGUAGUUCACUAUACAACAAAGAUUGCCACUGAUGUACUACUUUUUCUUGCUAUGCUGGUAUAUUGUGUUUCAAUUUAUCAAGAUAUAUAUUUAUGAAUAAGGAUGAUGGAGAAACAUCUCUUUCAAUAUAUGCAUAAAUAUUUCUGGUUUCAUUAAUCUCUUUUCAUAAUUUGUAGUAUAUGUGACAAGCAGGAGUACUCUCAUCAAAUUCUCAUGUAUAGGCUCUUGGGAACAAUGCCUUGUAUAUUUUCUUCCUAUGCUAUAAGUUCCACCUUUGUAGAUUGUUUUGUAAUUUACUUUACCUAUUAACAAGAGGCAACACAUGAUCUGUCAGACCUACGAGGGUCAGAAAUGACAUUCUACAGCCUAAGAUUGAAGUAUAAUGAGAUAACCUCCAUUCUUGCUUACCCUACACAUUUCUCAAUAAAACAAAACCAGAACUGCGAAUCCAAUCCUAACUGUACUGUCUCACCAUUUCACACUCUCUCAACAACUCUAUCAUAUAACACUAUACUGAUC
rnacentral:lncRNA from 1 species